UAUGAGCCAUUAAUAAUGAUUUUUAGUUUAAAUUACCUUAGGGAUAACAGCGUAAUUUUUUUAGAGAGUUCAUAUUGAUAAAAAAGUUUGCNACCUCGAUGUUGGAUUAAAGAUUAAUUUAGGUGCAAAAGUUUAAAUGAUUUGGUCUGUUCGACCAUUAAAUCUUUACAUGAUCUGAGUUCAGACCGGCGUGAGCCAGGUUGGUUUCUAUCUNUAUUUAAUUAGUAUAUUUUAGUACGAAAGGACCAAAUAUUGAUUAUAAUAAUUAUUAUUUGAAUAAUANUAAGUUAUUUUGGCAGAUUAGUGCAAUGAAUUUAGAAUUCAUAUAUGUAAUUUUAUUNCAGGGAAUAUUUGUUUUAUAUUGAUUUAAUUUUUAUAUUUAUUAUUAUAGUUUUAUUAAUUAUUUGUGUAUUAAU
rnacentral:rRNA from 1 species